ACCGGAGACGCCGAGCAGCCAGAGGGAGGAAGCUGAAGGGUCAAACCGUGCAUCAAAAAGGGUUUUGAGCCCUACUGGAUUGUGGUUUGAUGAUAACAAAGUUAGCGGGUCCAUCACUGACAUUUUCCAGGGUCAUUUCCGAGAACCUUGGUUUAACUACGUGAGGUGGACGAUGCAACAAAGACGCAUUGGUGGAACUCAUUCACGGGUCUUUACGAAUGGGCUCCUGAGUUAGAUGGCCAAGUGAGAAAAGCAUACCAAAUGAAAGCUGGAACUCGUUUGAGAGAUUUGCGGUAUUGGGUGCUCAACAAAGCUAAAGAAAGGCCAAAAUGGUUGGGGAAAACCAUUUAUGAAAAUAUGAAAAAGAAAAGUCAGGAGCCCGCAUUCCUCGAGAAAUCUGAGAAGGCAAAGAAGAACCGAAGAGGUGGUCCCUCUCUAAUCCAGUUGAGCCGUCGCACUUUCAGGGUUCCAUCUCGGCGGCACAACAUGCUAAAAAGAUGGUAAGAAUGUUUCAUAUGAUUAUUAGUUUGAAUUUCAUGAUUUUUUCUGUAUAUGUAAAAAAUAAAGUCUAUGUUCAACAAUGUGUACAGGCAAAGAGUAGAGGAGGAGUACUCCCUACCGCCCCGAGUUGUUCUUGAAAACUCAUUUCAAAACUGUUGCUGGAAAAGGAGAGAUUGCAGCAAACAAGAGAGCAAAACAAAUUUCGGAGACGUACAACAAGAAGCUGGAUGAUUGUAGCACUCAAGGGUCACAGCCAAACCCUAAUUUGUUAUAUUAGGAGACAGUUGGAGGGAGGAACAGAGGAAAAGUGCAGGGGUUGGGUCAGGGAGAUCAUUUGUACUACAACUCUUCAUCUGGGCGAGGAGUAGAUGGUUCUUCACAACCAUAUGAGCCAUCGAUUUUUUCUCAGUAGAGGCGCAGGUGGAGGCCAAGGUCGCUGCACGG